UCCGCCUUCAAAGGCUUUGGCGCCAAGUUGCUGCUGCUCGGCGUGGUUGGAAGAUGCGGGGCCGGGAGCCUUUGGGAAAAGGGGCGAGCUGUCGGGCGGCCACCCCAAGGAGUGCGUGGCCAGGGUGUGGAGGGAGGCCGCUCGUCCUCCUCUGAAUGGGGUGCCUUCCCUGUGGCCUCCCUUCCCGAGGACCCCGUGGUGAAGGAGGGUGUGGCCGAAGCGCCUGUUCCCGUGGUGUGUGUGUGUGCGGAAAGCCGGUGCCAUCUUCCUUCCCGGGAGCUGGGCAUGAGCCCCCAUCGUGCUGUGUGUCCCGGGCCCAGUGAGCAGGACUGCGGUGUCCUGAGGAGUCCCUUGGCUUGCAGUGAAGGAGUGGGGUGUGCGCGGUGAAGGGAGAUGCGGCAGCUAGGCCUGCAGCGGGGAGGGCCAUGGCGCCGAGAUCCAGGCCUUGAGCCUCCACGCGGCUCGGAAGGUGCUGGAGCAGCUGCUCUGCGCACCCCGGAUCUGAGGCCGACGGAGUGGACGCAGCCAGAGGAGGCUGUGAAGGCCUGUGCCCGUGGUCUGCAGUGACAUGGGGACGCCCGGCAGGGGUUGCGGGGAGACGGCCACUUGUGCUGGAGGCUGGAAGGAGCGCGGAGCGGAUCAGAUGGGCUCACCUGCGGCCUUGUGCUUCGCUGUGUGAGUUUGUCUUAAAGGACCCUGUGCGUGUGCUUCAGCCCUGGUAGUUCUUCCCGCGUGCGAGAGUGAUGUGCGGGGAGAGAAGGCGUGGGUCAGCAGCGGGGAGGCAGGCCCCCAGUGGAAGGCAGAGGCGCCCCGUGUGCGCGCGUGGGGUGUAGACACGCUCCCGGUGCUCAGCGAG